rnacentral:rRNA from 1 species
AACGUAGGUCACAAGCGUUGUCCGGAAUUACUGGGUGUAAAGGGAGCGCAGGCGGGAAGACAAGUUGGAAGUGAAAUCCAUGGGCUCAACCCGUGAACUGCUUUCAAAACUGUUUUUCUUGAGUAGUGCAGAGGUAGGCGGAAUUCCCGGUGUAGCGGUGGAAUGCGUAGAUAUCGGGAGGAACACCAGUGGCGAAGGCGGCCUACUGGGCACCAACUGACGCUGAGGCUCGAAAGUGUGGGUAGCAAACAGG